AGACUAUGGUGGGGGCACUGUCUUAAUAAGCCCUUAAAUCUGUUCCAUGCUUCAAAUAGUGAUUCUCCAUCAGCUUGAGCAAAAUUUGUGAUGUAAUUUCUCAUGUAC